rnacentral:rRNA from 1 species
UACGAAGGGGGCUAGCGUUGUUCGGAAUUACUGGGCGUAAAGCGCGCGUAGGCGGUGAUCCAUGUCAGAGGUGAAAUCCCGGGGCUUAACCCCGGAAUUGCCUUUGAAACGGGAUCGCUAGAGUCCGAGAGAGGAUGGCGGAAUUCCUAGUGUAGAGGUGAAAUUCGUAGAUAUUAGGAAGAACACCGGUGGCGAAGGCGGCCAUCUGGCUCGGUACUGACGCUCAGGCGCGAAAGCGUGGGGAGCAAACAGG